AGUGAACGCUGGCGGCAGGCCUACACAUGCAAGUCCAGCGGCAGCGCGGGGGCAACCCUGGCGGCGAGCGGCGGACGGGUGAGGAAUUCGUCGGAAUCUGCCUUUUUGUGGGGGAUAACGUAGGGAAACUUACGCUAAUACCGCCUACGUCCUACGGGCGGAAGUGGGGGACCGCAAGGCCUCACGCAGAAAGAUGAGCCGACGACCGAUUAGCUAGUUGGUGGGGUAAAGGCCCAGCAAGGCGAGGAUCGGUAGCUGGGCUGAGAGGAUGAUCAGCCACACUGGGACUGAGACACGGCCCAGAGUCCUGAGGGAGGCAGCAGUGGGGAAUAUGGGGCAAUGGGCGCAAGCCUGAUCCAGCCAGGCCGCGUGUGUGAAGAAGGCCUUCGGGUUGUAAAGCACGUUUGUCCGGAAAGAAAUCCCUGGAGCUAAGACGAUCGGGGGAUGACGGUACCGGAAGAAUAAGCACCGGCUAACUUCGUG
rnacentral:rRNA from 1 species